UACGGGGGGAGCAAGCGUUGUUCGGAUUUACUGGGCGUCAAGGGCGCGUAGGCGGCCAGCGCAAGUCAGUUGUGAAAUCUCCGAGCUCAACUCGGAAAGGUCAACUGAUACUGCGCGGCUAGAGUGCGGAAGGGGCAACUGGAAUUCUUGGUGUAGCGGUGAAAUGCGUAGAUAUCAAGAGGAACACCUGCGGCGAAGGCGGGUUGCUGGGCCGACACUGACGCUGAUGCGCGAAAGCCAGGGGAGCGAACGGG
rnacentral:rRNA from 1 species